UACGAAGGGGGCUAGCGUUGUUCGGAAUUACUGGGCGUAAAGCGCACGUAGGCGGAUAUUUAAGUCAGGGGUGAAAUCCCAGAGCUCAACUCUGGAACUGCCUUUGAUACUGGGUAUCUGGAGUAUGGAAGAGGUGAGUGGAAUUCCGAGUGAUAGAGGUGAAAUUCGUAAGAUAUUCGCAAGAACACCAGUGGCGAAGGCGGCUCACUGGCCCGGUACUGACGCUGAGGUGCGGAAAGCGUGGGGAGCAAACAGG
rnacentral:rRNA from 1 species